GCCUGAGUGGCUUAGUGGUUGAGCAUCUGCCUUUGGCUCAGGGCGUGAUCUCAGGGUCCUGGGAUCGAAUCCCACAUCAGGCU
rnacentral:tRNA from 1 species